UAUUGUAAAUAGUACUCUGGACAACAGCGCCACCUAGUCAAUAAUUUUAUUAACGACUGUCGAUAAUGUCUUGCGCAACAGAAACCACUAAAAUUGAUGAAAUUGAUGGCAUCUAUCGAGUAUUGCGCAAGAAACUGACAGAAUAUAUUUAAAAAAUAAAAAUGAUAGAAGUAACAAUUAUAACUUAAUAAUAAUACUAAAAAAAGAGAAGAAUAUAAACAUCCGGUUUCGACAGAUUGUUAAAGAAGAAAUUUCCUCGGUAAAUAAUUACAACAAUUAAUCACCAAAAUAGGGCACAAGUUAACCCUAGAUCGUUGUUCAGCAUAAUAGAAGUGACGGAAAUAAUGACUGAGUAAUCAAUAUGUGAAAAAAAUAUCUAAAAAUAUUGCGCAAAAAUUAAAUACUCAGGAUAUACGAAUAUAUAGACAAUAGAAAAAUAAGAUAAUAGUAAAGAUCCGGGUAAAACUUGACAACACUUGAUUUAAUGUGUGUUUUACCCAUUGCUACAACAUAUGUAUGUAUUAUAUUUCUAUCCACCAGAAGAUUCGAUCAUUGAUGUUCGUAUAUACCUGAAAAAAAAUCUAAUAUUCCCAGAAUAUAUUAAAAUUCGGUAUAAAUCCUUUUAAAAAUUUUAUAUGGAGGUAUUUAUGUUGUUUUAGUGGAUAUCCCAGCGCCUGUUUCACACCAAACUUAAUAGGUCCAAAAAGAAGAAUUAAUUUACGUAAAGGUCCGGGUUUUACGUCUUUAGCUGCUGAGAUAUGGCCUACUCUCGUAUAUCACCAUAUACAAUGAAUAAAUUAACAUUAAUUCUGUAUAAUAAUAACAAUCUACCCUUUAGAAGAACAAAGGAUACGGUGUAUUAUGUUUAUAAAAAACAAUAAUAACAACAAUAACAACAACAACAACAACA